rnacentral:rRNA from 1 species
UACAGAGGUCUCGAGCGUUAGGCGGAAUCACUGGGCUUAAAGCGUGUGUAGGCGGAUCGUUAAGUACCUUGUGAAAUCCCACGGCUUAACCGUGGAACUGCUUGGUAUACUGGCGGUCUUGAGCCAGCUAGGGGCUACCGGAACAAAUGGUGGAGCGGUGAAAUGCGUAGAUAUCAAGAGGAACACCAGUGGCGAAGGCGAGUCCCUGGACGAUACCUGACACUGAGGCACGAAAGCCAAGGGAGCAAACAGG